rnacentral:tRNA from 1 species
UGUAGCUCAAUGGUAAAGCGCUUGUCCGGCUAGCAUGAGGCUCUGGGUUCAAUUCCUAGCA